rnacentral:rRNA from 1 species
AUAUUGGGCAAUGGAGGCAACUCUGACCCAGCAAUGCCGCGUGAGUGAAGAAGGUCUUCGGAUUGUAAAGCCCUUUGAUUAGGGAUGAAGGAAAUGACAUUACCUAAAGAACAAGCCCCGGCUAACUACGUGCCAGCAGCCGCGGUAAUACGUAGGGGGCGAGCGUUGUCCGGAAUUACUGGGCGUAAAGGGUGUGUAGGCGGUCUGUUAAGUUAGAAGUGAAAUCCCCAGGGCUCAACCCGGGUGCUGCUUCUAAAACUGGCAGACUUGAGUGCAGGAGAGAGUAGUGGAAUUCCUAGUGUAGCGGUGGAAUGCGUAGAGAUUAGGAGGAACACCAGUGGCGAAGGCGACUACUUGGACUGUAACUGACGCUGAGGCACGAAAGCGUGGGUAGCAAACA